CAAAUCCACGGAUUACGGCCUUCAGUGCGCCCGCAGAAUCCCUUCACGGCCACUGGAGAUGUGUGCGUGACCAGACAACCCAAGACGGUAACCCGGAGACACUUCACUGGGUCACACCAAAGCCAGGUGACACAGUAAGAGACCACGGGAUCCCGGGCUUGGCUUUAUCCAGCACAGAUGGAAAAUCUCAUUGUUCCUCUCUCCGCCCCGAGCCCCCUGAGCCACUGGACCUCAGCAAGCUUCAGGAAGCCACGGCUCUGCCGGGACCCCAGGUCACAGCCAAGGCCCUCGGAGACGGGGUGGGCAGCAGGCCACGGGCCCUCCGUGGGGCCCGCCUGGGAGGUCCUGGAGGUCUGCACGCAGCGGCUUCCUUUCCCGCGUGGCGUUUCCGGAGCAGAGAAGCCUCGCAGGAAGUGGAGACCAGCAGAGCAAACAACGGAACAACAGCGGGAGGAAGAGCCGAAAAUAAAUCAGGCAGACAGGCCAGGGGACGGGCUGGGGCCAUCUGCACCCUGGGCUCUUGGGGACAGCAUUCUGCUACAGCACCUACCUUCCUUUGAGGUUGUCCUGCCUCCCUGCCACCCACCCCUCCACCUACUUCAGGAUGGGUGUGUGCCCAGGCCACCUGGAGUAUCACAGAUGAGGAAACUGAGGCACAAAGCGGUUGAGUUGGAGCUUCCCAAGAACUGUCAAGGCACCAAACAGAAGCUCACUGUGGGAAGCCGCAGAAAGAACCUUUAUGCUCACAGGAACCCAGUUCUGCAGUCUGAGAGAACUCCUACUCAUCCUUCAAAACCCAGCUCAGAUAAUAGCACGCCCCAAGAGAUGUUCUGAUCUACACUAACAUUACUCAGGCCAUCUCUGUGCUGGAGCCUCACCACAUUCAGCUGGAGCUGUACAUUGGCUUGCUGGGCCAUCCCUGUGGCCAGCAGGCUCUGUAUGAGCUGGACUUUGAAUAUUUUGUUGUUGGUGGUGGUUUUUUUGAGACAGAGUCUUGCUGUUCAGGCUGGCCUCAAAUUUGUGGCAAUCCUCCUUCCUCAGCCUCCUGAGUGCCGCAAUUACAGGCACGCGCCACCACACCCAGCUCUUGGACUCUGAAUAUUAACACGGUCGCAACCAUUACUGUCCAUAGGGUCCGCUCUAUCUGGAGGCUGCUGAGAGAAGGAAAAUAAUAAUUUCCAGUCCUCAGCCUCUUCCCAACGCCAACCACUAUUCUGGGUACUUUACAUACUUCACCCCUGCGAGUCUGCAAAUCUCCUAGGAAGGGGAUGUGAGUAUUCUGCAGAGCAGGAAACUGAGGCUCGGGGAGGUGAGAACAACUUUGAACGGGCCGCACGCCCAGAGCUCCCUCAGCUCACUGGCGCUCUGUGAGCCUGAGCUGUGUUCCUGCAAGGGGCCUCUGUCCCCACCCGCGGCCACCCACACACCACCUCCCAGGAUAACGGACCAGAGCCGCCCCAGAUGGCCCCUGCUGGGCCGGCUCCUCCCUCCGGCCCGCCCCUGACCCGCAGGUCCUGCAGGGCUGCUGGAAGGGGCAGAAGAAAGGGCUGGCCCUCGGACGGCCUCCUCUUUGUGUCCCCUCCACGGUGGCCAGAGGAUAGAGCUGCUCUCCCUGUUCCCUCCUGGCGUUUCAUUCUCGGAGACAACAAAGCCCCGGAGGCCGGCCGCCCCUCCUCCGCCGAAGCCGGGCCACCUGUCCCCGCCGUCUUGCACAAGCUUUGCGCUCCAGGCGGCCCGCUGCCCACCGGUGCGGGUGUCCUGAGGCUCCCGCCAAGGCCCAGCUGCUCCUCUGCCCACAGGUGGCCAAGACAUUCAAGGCAGGGAGAAGUCCCAGGCCAGGGCGACCUCUCCCGGGAGUGGUGCUGCCACUGACGCAGCCCCAGGCUCGGGCCAAGCGGGGGCCGCCUUGUGCUGAGGUCCUGGGCGCCGGUGCCCUUGUCUGAGACCGUCGGAGGGCAGCGCCCAUUGCUCGCUUGUCCCUUCACUGACCGCCCGCACGGACUCAUUGUGUGGCCUGGCCUGGCCGGGGAGGUGGCCAAAGGACAGCCCGACCUUCGUGCUUCCCAGGGACCCCUGCAAGGGACGGGGGCAGAAAGACAGCUGUUUCGCCGCCACCGCCACCACCCCCAGCAAGCAAAGCUGUGCCAGAGCAGCCCGGCUGGCGGGACAGCAUGGCCCUGAAGCAGUUGCAGCCCGGAAAUCUGACUUCAGGACAAGCCUGUCCCGGGUCUAACCAGGUUUCAUCCAUAGGCCUUCAUAAUCCAGGGUCUUGUUUGAUUUUUGAGACAGGGUCUUCUAUGUAGUCGAGGCUGGCCUUGAACUUGCGAUCCUCCUGCCUCAGCCUUCCGAAUGCUGGGGCCACAGCCGUGUAACACCAUGACCUGCUCUUACCCAGGGUCUUGCUUGCCAUGAGCUCCACAGGGCAGGUACUGGCUGUCCGUCUGCAGAUGGCUUCCCUUUUGGUUCUCUCGGGAGGGUCUCAGUGACAGUGUAGCGGUUUGGUGCUGUCCCGCUUAGCGGGCUGUGACUGAGGUGUCAUCCAUCAGCACAUCACACUACCCGGGGCCCCACGAUGGGUUCAAGGCUGGAUGUGCUGGCCCAGUGAGACUCAGUUCCAGGACUUAGGUGGGGUACCUUAGACAACAGACGAUGUUCCCGCUGGUCUCAGAACUUUGGAAAUGUUUGCUUGCACCCCAAGAAGGACUGGGGGAGAGAGCUUGCCUGAGAGCAAAGCAGAGAUCAGCACAUCCUGUGGCACUGAGAACCUAGAUCAAGCUGUACCUGAAGCUGGACAUACCUAGACUUUCCAGCUUUAAGGACCAACUUCUUUUCACCCAAGUCAUUUUGACUUAAGCUUUCUGGCCCUCAUCUAAAAGACCUGGCUAAUGAUAGGAAGAAAACGGAGGAAAAGGAGGUGGAGAGUGGUUGGGUCUGAGCUGGGAGAAGUAUCGGUGAAUCAACUUGGUUUGGCAGGAGUUUAGUAAUGGAGAGGUCAGACACUGCGUAUGAGGCUGUUUGUAUUACUGCAGCGUAUCCCCUUCUUGCGCCAUCAAUAUAGUCUACUGGGGACAAAAAUGUGCUGUGCAGUGGACUGUUUUGUGGGACAUGAGGAAGGAGCCGCAUUCCCGACCCGGAUGAUGUGGUGUGAGAUGGAGCACAGCUGUGAAAGCUGGACACAGGCUGACGCGGCCACCGUGGGACAGGUCACCUGCACGAGGGAGCCGCGUCUCAGCUGUCGGGGGCUGGGCCAGGUCAGCCCGGGGCCAAAGGCUCCCUUGGACCCACGGAAACCUCUGUGUGGCCUGGGACUCCUGCACUCUGAAGGCAGCCGUGGCCUCCACGCGGCCCCUCUGCACAUUUAUGUCCUAACACGCUUGUUUGUGACCAUCCAAGGGCAGCGGGCCUGUCUAUGCCAUUUCUGUGUCCCAGGCACAGGGCUUGCUGCAUAAAAACUACGUUAAGACAUUACUGAAGGAAUAAAGCAGUAUUUGCAAUCGCUACCCAUUGCAAAGUGUGGACGGAGGCGCUACCGGAAGCUCCUCCUCCAGCCACAAACACACAGACGCUGGAGGCAGCAGAACCACGUAAAAGAGCACACAGUCAAGGUCAAACACAAGAAGAGAAGGCAUCACACUCCCAUGGGAACGGAGCGGCUGAAAUCCCCCAUGGAGACCGGGCACAGGGAGUCCGGGGACCCCGGCUCUGCGGGGUGCUCUGCUAUUGAUGGCCCCACAGUCAAAGAUGACAACUCACCGUCACGGCAGAGACAGCAGGCAUGAAGCCUGUCAGGAAACUCAGGGAUUACAGCAAGCUCAAAGAGACGGUAAGAUAACUAAGGUCCCUCCGGACGUGCAGGGGACAGCCCUCUUGCAGGAAACGCCCAGCUUCCCUGUAUAAAAUGCCAGCGUCUGCUAGAACUGAGCCGUCUAGGGUAUGUGUCUUACCCAACCCAGCAGCAGCGCUCGGUAACGAGCAGCUGCUCUGUGUCAUCCAGGGAAUAACGACGAGAAGAAAGUCCGACUUCCGCGUUUUUAUAUAUUUCCAGUCCGUGGUUGGUAGAAUGCAUGCACGUGGAACCCAUGGACUAGGAGGACGCGCUGGUAUGUUUAAAAGUCAAAGAAAUAAUGGGUGAGACAGGACCCCUAACACAAGGGCUAAGCAAGCUGAAAAAGAACUAAGUAGGAGUGUAGAAAUGGAAAUACCGAGUGGCCCUGGGGUGUCGCUGCAGGGGACUCAGAGUCGGGGAGUCUGCGCCCCAAUUCAGUGGCGUGUGGAGUUUGCGGCUUUAGCGCAGCCACGCCGCCCUGGACUCCGCUUCCGUGGCUGAAAAGCGCCCACAUGAUGCCGGCCGUGCGGCCCCAGAGCAGGACGCUGGGAAAGUAUGAGUCGGGUCACCACAAAUGGUUUCCAUCCGUCCCUGCCCGGCACAGUUCGGUCGUCCCACAUCUGCAGAACACCUGGAAGCAGCAUGCCGUCACGCAGGGGGUGCUGCGGGGCUCUGAUACGCAGACGGAGGGAGGACCGGCUCCACACACGGGGACGCCUGAGUGCCUGGGUCCUGAAGUACAGCUCCCAUGCCUCCCCCGCCUGUGCCACGUCCUGCUGAUGUGCGGGGCGGGGAGAAUCCCCGGCCAGACCCACCCAGGGCACGCAGCGCGGGCAGCCGCGGGUCCUGCCCUCGUGUCUCUCCCACGGUGCCCUCCUGGCAAGAAGCGUCCUGUCCCGCCUAGGUGUCCUCAUCCGUGACAUGCAGGUGGUGACACUUCUCUCAGACAUCCUGCUGAGGACACGACUGGCGCUCAACAGAUGCCGCAGCUAUUCUGUCUCCCCGCUCUUCCUUUCUUCAGAGAGUGACAGCUUUCAGCAAGGUAGUCCAAAGCCACAGGAAGCUGGGCAGAGAAACAAGGGCCAGGCCCACCCGCACGCCCGCUGGGUGGCUUCCAUAGGUGUCCCUCACUGCCUGGUCUGCAGUUUCCUCGUGUGCUAGGCGUCUCCCCGGGGUCUCUGCAAUAGCCACGUCCUCCUCUUCCUUAAUACAGAGCUCUGAUUUCAUUUGGUGCUGCCCACUGUGACCAGGCUCUCGUGCAGGUGGGGGAAGUCCUGGGACUCAGCUCUGGCCAGUGACACAGAGAUCUAAGUUCUGUUGGGGACUGCAAAGGGAAAGCCUCCCUAGGAGAAAAUUCUUCCCCAUUCCUAGCUGUCCAUCUUCCAUGUGCCUGGAUAGCAGAGAACAAGGCCCGGAGCUGCUGCAGCCAUCUUGUAACCAUGAGUCAACAACAACAACAACAAAGUCCACUUUUUCUAUCAUGAGCCCCCCUGCCCCAUAUUCUCUUACAUUCAUGCAGUAAAGGACUAAUUGUGAUUUUAAGGCAAAAGAAAGAAGAGACCGUUUAUUUCUCCUUUUGGAGAAAGUUCCAAGGCUGGAUGUGGGCCUCAAGCCAACCAGCCUUGCUCUUCAGCCAAUCAGCUAAGCAAACAGGAAGUGACUAUCCAAACAUUUGGAGCGGCAGGAGGCUGGCCCAGUCAGCCUCUGCGGAGGUCCCCUGCCAGCCUGUGACUUCUGUCCCCAGCUGGGAGCGCCUCUGAAGUCCAGGAUGGGGUCCCUCCUCAGGAAGCCGCCCCUUCUCAUCGCCCCACCUCUAGUCUGGCCCAGACCACCUUCCACUCAGAGCUGGGGAGACCACCGCCCUCUUCCCCUCCCCCUGCCUCGGUCACAGCUGCAGGCGGGGCAAUUCCUUAUUGAAAUGCAAGUCGCUGCCAUCA